CCCUGGAGGGCUUGUUAAAACGCCAAGCUCUGGAUUCCACCUCGGAGUUUGAUGCAGCAGGUCUGGGGUGGGACAGAAGAUGCGCACUUCUAACAAGUUCUCAGAUGCUGAUGGCCCAGUAGACAUGGAAGCCCCAAGAAUGGGAACCAGAAGCUUUAUCUUGAAGGCCAGGAGGGCUUGCAUCUUCCUAGGAUAGCACCGAAAAGAAGGAAAAGGAAAAGCAAUUUCCUCUCCUUAUUAGCGUUUCCUAACCUCUCACAUGUGUAGCCAUCACUUCAGGUGCACCGAGGACUGAGGACUCCAGGCACGGCUCUUUAAAUGAGCCCAGCAGUGCCAGUGCACACCGAGGACUGUAAAUAUUAAAUAACAAGAAAACAAUUAAGUUUCUGGGACUUCUCAGUGGGUGCUUAUUCCUGGCAGUCAUUAUUGGCAUCUGAAGUCCUGGGUUGAGGAAUUAGAAUCAACAGUCCUUUUUCCAUUUCAAUUUUUGUAACACAGUAGGAAUAUUUUUUGUUCUGUUUGCUUUGAACUAUAGGCAAAAUCCCACAAGUAUGCAUUUGAGAUGCUAGCCAAGGUGCCCACUCUCACAUUUCCUCAUAGGAGGCACUUGGUGAGGUUCUGGAAUUGAUAAAGCUUUCCAGUCUGGCACCAUUUGACCUCUGGACCAUAGAUCUAUCCUGUCUCAUAAAAGCUUGAGCUGUGAGGGGACAGGAUGAAGAACCCAGGUCAGGAUAAGCCAUUUCAGAAGGAUGCACAAAGCUGCCUAGACCAUAACUGCUGCCUCUCUUAAUUAAUGUUCUCCCAGUGGUCCGUGAGUGCAAAUGACUCCAGAUAUUGAUGGUUCAACAGAAUAAAUCAGAAAAGCUUCCUACUAUCCCUGUUAUUAUAAGGAUAUGACUUUUGAACUAACAAAGCACAUCAUUUUCAUUUUCUCUCCUCAUGAAAGAGCUUGGACCAAACAUCCCUAAAUUAC
ensembl:lncRNA